rnacentral:lncRNA from 1 species
CCUGUGGCAAGGGUACGGCAGACCUCCCGCGUGGGCUGAAGCUACAACGGGGAAAGCUGUAUGAGAAUCCAGGCUUGUUAGCGUUUUGGGCUUCCUGAUGACCCCUCGCCCCCCAGUAGAAAGUCUAUCAUCAGCUGUGACAGUGAAGGACGAUUACAUUCACCAGUUUCCAUCUCUGCUUGCUUGUGCUCCUUGAGGGCAUCUGUGAGGCCCGGGAUUCCUCACCACCUAUCAGAGAGAACCCGCAGCGGGUAGAGGAAAUGUCUUCCUCCCCUACAAUACCAUGCAUCGUUGACUGAAGUGUCAUUAGGCGGCACAUGACUGUAGAAGGGUUAAGCAUCUUUCCUUAGGCUAGAAACUGAUCGCUGCGCUCACCUGUGACCGCCCAGCUCAAGACAAUAGACUUGCCUCCUGCUACGCCCUCCAAGAUAGAAGACCACUACCUGCUGUGUCCAUCAAGCCCUGUGCCAACAGGGCAAUCUUGUGACUAUUGUGGGAGGGACAUUUCAAUCAUAUGUGAAACACCCUGUUUGAGGGUAUAUAACCACUCAAACCACUCCUUCGGGCCAU